UUUGUUUCUGUCUUUAGAAGCUCAUUGUAUCAGGAAGGAUCCUACUACAAGGUAUACAAGAAGCACCAACGUGGCAGGAAGAGAAAGAACCCAGAAUCUGAACUUAGGAAGCUGAAGAAAGAUGAAAAGCAAACCAAUCAGAUAUCACCUAAUGACGUUUCUGAGCCGAGAAAGCGAAGAAGGAAGGAAACAAUGUCUGGAGUACCUGAAGAUCAGAAGCAAGCUGCUGAAGCUAAGGCUGUCAAAGGGAGUGAUGAAAAUGUUUCAUCAGUUGCACUUUUGGUCUCAUUUGAGCCUGGAUCCUCUCUGCCUUCAAAAUCUGACCUUAUCACACUGUAUAGCAAGUUCGGGGCGCUGAACGAAUCGGCAACAACUGUAUUCUCUAGUAAUUACUCUGCUCAAGUGUCUUUUCUGAAAGCUUCUGAUGCCAAAAUAGCCUUGAACCAUUCGCAAAGUGCAAGCCCUUUCGGAUCUUCCAAAGUCAGAUUCAAGCUCAGUUACCUUUCUGCUGAAUCCAAGUCUGCGAAAAAGGGCGAAAAAUCAAAGUCCAAAGCAUCUCAGGUUAAGGAGAAAGAUAAGACUCCAACCAAGCCAUCUGAUUCGUUGUCCCCGAAGAAGGAAGCAUCCCAAUUGAACCACAUAAAGCAGAAGCUCGAGUAUCUGUCUUCGAUACUUGAAGCAUCAAAUGGGAAAUCACAAGCUAUGGAGACAAAAUUGAAGAGCGGGAUUAAAGAGCUUUUGGAGGACGUGAACAAAAUGGUUGACUCAUCAUCAUCAUAGAUCGUAAUACAUGGAAUAUUGGUAAAGUGAUACAUAUGUAGCUAAUAAUCAGCUUAGGUUUAAGAUUUGUUGUUUUCUUUAGAGGUUUCUGUUUGUUUCGUUUUUGUGCUUAGAUUUAUUUCAGAGGAAAAUUUUUUCAUUUUCUUGUGUAGAGUAUGUAAUAUGUUGUAUGCAUAGUCUGUAUAAACCAAAAAGCCUUUUAGAUCAUCGUGUCUGUUAUCAUAGUGAUGAAAACAGCUUUUAAAGGAUCAUUUCUUUUAACCUGACUCUCACUCGUGUGUGAAGAAACAAUUGAUUCCUUUUAUGGUAUCAUUUUUAUUUUUUGAUGCAUUGGCAGUUGACUAGACAAAGAGACGUGGAACAUAUUUGUAGAAAUAUGUAGUUUUCAUUUCUCGUUUGGCCUUGCCAUAUAUAGGCAAGUUGAACAUCCCUUUUAUUUUUAUUGUUUCUUCUAUUAUGUCGAUUGGGUUAUAUAUAAUAUCAGAGAAGCAGUUAUAUUAUUGGAAACUUUAUAAAGGUAUGCCACUGUGGUAGUGUACUAGUGUACCUUUGUGUGGUGUCAUACCCUUGUGAUACGACGUAUGGAGUAUGGACUACGGAUCGGUGAGGUAUUUUUGGUCUUUUUUUUGUUUUUGGGUUUUUCAACUUCAUUUAAGUUUAGUUUAACUUGAGAGCUUUUCAUUCUAUCGUAAAAAAAUACAGCCGCUCAUAUAAUGAAUCAAAGUUACAUAUCAUUAAUUGAAUGGAUAUCCACAUCCAUAUCACAAUACUUUUUAGAAUAUGUUUUUGUCAUUUUUAUCUCUUAAAGUCUUAAUAAUAUUACUAAUUUUGGGAACUUUUUUGUAAAAUUUUUUAAGUUACUCAAAAAUUAAAUACUUUACCAUGUUUAAAAGAAAAAAAAAAAAGAAAAAACUAUGUAAAAAACCUAGUCACGUGAUAGUGACUUCGUGUGCUACCCUGCUCCUUCGGGUUAGGGACGAAAAAGAAAUGACGACUCCUAAAUCAAGUCACUAAUGGUUGUAGAAAAAAACAGACGAAUUAAAGGUGAGAUGAAAAUUAUUCGACCUUCUCCACCGCUUAGCCGCAACCGUGACGACAGUUCCAACUUCCAAGAGAAACUCAAAGUUCUCCCCAUUAUCUCGUUAGUUCACGAGAUAAACAACUUUAUAUUCGAGAAUUUGCUACAUCUCUCACAGUUUGAUAAACUUGACUGUGACUUUGACUUCAUCUUCUGUUUUUAUUGUUAAUAAAUAUAAAUAAUAACAACUAUUAAUUAAUUAAUCAUAUAAAAAGUUAAAAAUUUUAUCUUGUCCAAGAAUCACAUUCCUCAUCCAUCUCCUAUGCCUCUCUGAUCAGAUUAUAAAGUCAAUGGUUUCGAUUUGAGAAUUGGCACAAGUCAUAAUAAUCUUCUUUGCAACCCUAACUUUUGUUCUUCAGGUAUACUUAUUUUAUUUCCUCUGUUAUGCUUAUGUUCAUUGAUAUUUGAUUCUUGUUUAGUGCAUAUAUUUAAAAUUAUUUUAUUACAUUUUUGGGGCUAGUAUUUCUUUUUCUUCUUUUUUCUUUUUCCCGUAAUUAGUAGUGAGUAAUAUUUUUUUCUUCUCCAUAAUUCCAUUUCUUGCAACCAAAACCCUAGAAUGUGUUGAUUUUCUUUCCUGUUCUCGCAGGAUAGGUUGAUUUUAGUAUUUUACCCAUCAAAAGAGAACAAUAUAUAAUUUCUUUGAUGGGCACGGUAGAGACACCAUCGAAAAACCCAGCUGGGUGUUCAUCUCCUUCGCCAGAAAAUGACAAGAAUGAGCUCAGAGAAGCUCUUUGUGCUCUGAAAGGAGGAGCAAUAGAAAACGGAGUAGGUUUUUCAAGUCAUGGAAGCCAAGGUGAUGAUGAUGAUGGUGGUGGAGGUGGUGUUGAAUUGGUUAAGAACAGGGUUAGGUGUGGCUCUGUUGGGAGAGAAGUGGAAGAUGGUUGUCAAGGUUUGGCUGAUUCGGAGAUGAAUGGGGUCUCCUCUUUGUUGAAAAUGAAAGGAAGUGGGAGACGGUUGACGUAUUCCUUUGGAAGUGAUAGUGGAGAUUCUGAGAAGUUGAACUAUGGAAGUGGUGGUUCUUUUGGUGUUGGAAUGGAAAGAGGAAGAAAAUAUUGGAAGAGAAGUGAAGAAGAAGGUGAUCAAUUUGGAAAAAUUGUGAGUAAAGAUGUUCCGGUUACUGAGACAAGUGAGAAUAGGGACUUGGAUGUGGAAGAUUUGGGUGAAGAAGGACAUGGGUUUUCUGUUGGUGAUUUUGUUUGGGGUAAAAUUAAGAGUCAUCCUUGGUGGCCUGGCCAAAUUUAUGACCCUUCAGAUGCAUCGGAUUUUGCUUUGAAGUUAAGACAGAAGAACAGACUCCUUGUGGCCUACUUUGGGGACGGAACCUUUGCUUGGUGCCAUCCUUCUCAAUUGAAGUUGUUUCGGGAGAACUUUCAGGAUAUGGUGAAGCAGAGUAGCUCAAGGUCUUUUGUCAAUGCUGUGCAGGAAGCUGUAAAUGAAGUGGGGAGGCUGGUAGAGAUCAAAACAAAUUGUUGUCCAUGUGCUUCGGAGGAAACUAGGUCUGACUUUGCUCUGCCAUUGGCUAAGAAUGCUGGAAUCAAGGAAGGAGUUCUUGUGCCUGGAAAUGGUGUAGAGAGAUUUUUGGAUUUUCUGAUUAACCCAGCAGAGUUACUUUCUCGAGUAAAACAAAUUGCGGAAAUUAUUGCCGUUACUAAUACGCUGGACCUGGAAAUCUUGAAGGCUCGGCUUUCAGCCUUUCAUCUAGCAAGAGGAGGUUAUAAGUUACCUAAGUAUGAAGAACCCCUGCCAGUUCCUGGGCUUGAAGAUAGUUCAAUGGAUGAAAGAGUAGAUGUAGGUAACAUUCAGGGUGGAGUGGAAGCACAUGUCCAAGGGCCAUCCGAAGACGACUACUCUACUGUGCCAACGAACCCAGAGUCUCGUGAACUGAGUUACUCUCAUGAGAUUUCAGGACAUAGGUCGACUCAUAGGAUUAAACAGAAAAGCAUUGCUGAAAUUUUGAGGGAAAACGAAGUUGUUAGUACCAAAAGCAAGGAGGAAGGUACAAUGGAAAAAAUGAAGGUUAAAAGUAAGAGGAAAAGCAGUGAGGAUGCAGUGGCUUCUAAACCAUUGCAGAAGAGGAAAGAAUCACUCCCGAGCACUGAUAGAAAUUUGACAAAUGCUGCAAAUGAUGUCAGUAUUGGCAAGGUAAAAAGAGAUAAGGGCACACCAUCACAGUUGAAGGAGAAGAAAGAAGCUUUUGGGAAUGAAAACAAUAGAAGUGGGAGGAAAAAGAAGCCUAAAGAAGGGAAUCCCAAAGAACAAAAUGAGAAGGGUUCUUUGUCAAGAGAAAGGAAGAAAAGCAAGUACUUGUCCCCUCCCUUCACUGCUCCAGCCAAAGGGCAGAGGAAGGAAGACUUAGAUAAAGAAUCCCAUAAUGAUUCUGACAAAGCUCAUGUUUCUGAAGCAAUGCCCAGAGCAGGCAACCAGUUUCAUAAGUCCCCUGAACCUCCAAAAUUUAACGGUGAGGCAGUUCAUAAGUCCCCUGAAAGUUCAAACUACCAAACAUCAGAAGACAAUAACAAGGUUAUUGAUCCAGCAAAAGUAGAGACUCCUGCAGUGGAAGUUUUAUCCAAAGUUCGCCAUGCAGCUAUAAAUCCAUUAGUACCUGGGGAAAUCAGUUCUCUUGAAAAUUUUGUGGACUUUGUUUCUGUCUUUAGAAGCUCAUUGUAUCAGGAAGGAUCCUACUACAAGGUAUACAAGAAGCACCAACGUGGCAGGAAGAGAAAGAACCCAGAAUCUGAACUUAGGAAGCUGAAGAAAGAUGAAAAGCAAACCAAUCAGAUAUCACCUAAUGACGUUUCUGAGCCGAGAAAGCGAAGAAGGAAGGAAACAAUGUCUGGAGUACCUGAAGAUCAGAAGCAAGCUGCUGAAGCUAAGGCUGUCAAAGGGAGUGAUGAAAAUGUUUCAUCAGUUGCACUUUUGGUCUCAUUUGAGCCUGGAUCCUCUCUGCCUUCAAAAUCUGACCUUAUCACACUGUAUAGCAAGUUCGGGGCGCUGAACGAAUCGGCAACAACUGUAUUCUCUAGUAAUUACUCUGCUCAAGUGUCUUUUCUGAAAGCUUCUGAUGCCAAAAUAGCCUUGAACCAUUCGCAAAGUGCAAGCCCUUUCGGAUC
rnacentral:lncRNA from 1 species